rnacentral:rRNA from 1 species
UUGAAAUCCGGCCCCCGGCCCGAGUUGUAAUUUGCAGAGGAUGCUUCCGGCGCGGCGCCUUCCGAGUUCCCUGGAACGGGACGCCACAGAGGGUGAGAGCCCCGUCCGGUCGGACGCCAAGCCGGUGUGAAGCUCCUUCGACGAGUCGAGUAGUUUGGGAAUGCUGCUCAAAACGGGAGGUAUAUGUCUUCUAAAGCUAAAUACCGGCCAGAGACCGAUAGCGCACAAGUAGAGUGAUCGAAAGAUGAAAAGCACUUUGGAAAGAGGGUUAAAAAGUACGUGAAAUUGUUGAAAGGGAAGCGCCCGUGACCAGACUCGGGCCCGGCGGAUCACCCGGCGUUCUCGCCGGGGCACUCCGCCGGGCGCGGGCCAGCAUCAGCUCGGCGCGGGGGACAAAGGCUCUGGGAACGUGGCUCCCCCGGGAGUGUUAUAGCCCACCGCGCAAUGCCCCGCGCCGGACUGAGGUACGCGCACCGCAAGGAUGCUGGCGUAAUGGUCACCGGCGACCCGUCUUGAAACACGGACCAAGGAGUCGUCUUCGUAUGCGAGUGUUCGGGUGUCAAACCCCUACGCGGAAUGAAAGUGAACGCAGGUGGGAGCCUCGGCGCACCACCGACCGAUCCCGAUGUUCUCGGACGGAUUUGAGUAGGAGCAUACGGGGCCGGACCCGAAAGAAGGUGAACUAUGCCUGUGUAGGGUGAAGCCAGAGGAAACUCUGGUGGAGGCUCGCAGCGGUUCUGACGUGCGAAUCGAUCGUCAAACAUGGGCAUGGGGGCGAAAGACUAAUCGAACCUUCUAGUAGCUGGUUUC